AACGCGAAGAACCUUACCUGGGUUUGACAUGCUAGUUAAAGCCGGUGAAAGCCGGUGUCCGUAAGGGGCUAGCACAGGUGCUGCAUGGCUGUCGUCAGCUCGUGCCGUGAGGUGUUGGCUUAAGUGCCGCAACGAGCGCAACCCCUGCUCUUAGUUGCCAGCGGGUAAUGCCGGGGACUCUAAGAGGACUGCCGGGGACAACUCGGAGGAAGGUGGGGAUGACGUCAAGUCAGCAUGGCCCUUAUACCCAGGGCUGCACACAUGCUACAUUGCGCGUUACAGAGGGCUGCGAUCCCGCAAGGGGGAGCGAAUCCCAAAAAAGCGCGCCUGGUUCGGAUUGGGGUCUGCAACUCGACCCCAUGAAGUCGGAGUCGCUAGUAAUCGCAGAUCAGCAACGCUGCGGUGAAUACGUUCCCGGGCCUUGUACACACCG
rnacentral:rRNA from 1 species